rnacentral:rRNA from 1 species
UAAUGGGUCAGCGACUUAUAUUCUGUAGCAAGGUUAACCGAAUAGGGGAGCCGAAGGGAAACCGAGUCUUAACUGGGCGUUAAGUUGCAGGGUAUAGACCCGAAACCCGGUGAUCUAGCCAUGGGCAGGUUGAAGGUUGGGUAACACUAACUGGAGGACCGAACCGACUAAUGUUGAAAAAUUAGCGGAUGACUUGUGGCUGGGGGUGAAAGGCCAAUCAAACCGGGAGAUAGCUGGUUCUCCCCGAAAGCUAUUUAGGUAGCGCCUCGUGAAUUCAUCUCCGGGGGUAGAGCACUGUUUCGGCAAGGGGGUCAUCCCGACUUACCAACCCGAUGCAAACUGCGAAUACCGGAGAAUGUUAUCACGGGAGACACACGGCGGGUGCUAACGUCCGUCGUGAAGAGGGAAACAACCCAGACCGCCAGCUAAGGUCCCAAAGUCAUGGUUAAGUGGGAAACGAUGUGGGAAGGCCCAGACAGCCAGGAUGUUGGCUUAGAAGCAGCCAUCAUUUAAAGAAAGCGUAAUAGCUCACUGGUCGAGUCGGCCUGCGCGGAAGAUGUAACGGGGCUAAACCAUGCACCGAAGCUGCGGCAGCGACGCUUAUGCGUUGUUGGGUAGGGGAGCGUUCUGUAAGCCUGUGAAGGUGUGCUGUGAGGCAUGCUGGAGGUAUCAGAAGUGCGAAUGCUGACAUAAGUAACGAUAAAGCGGGUGAAAAGCCCGCUCGCCGGAAGACCAAGGGUUCCUGUCCAACGUUAAUCGGGGCAGGGUGAGUCGACCCCUAAGGCGAGGCCGAAAGGCGUAGUCGAUGGGAAACAGGUUAAUAUUCCUGUACUUGGUGUUACUGCGAAGGGGGGACGGAGAAGGCUAUGUUGGCCGGGCGACGGUUGUCCCGGUUUAAGCGUGUAGGCUGGUUUUCCAGGCAAAUCCGGAAAAUCAAGGCUGAGGCGUGAUGACGAGGCACUACGGUGCUGAAGCAACAAAUGCCCUGCUUCCAGGAAAAGCCUCUAAGCAUCAGGUAACAUCAAAUCGUACCCCAAACCGACACAGGUGGUCAGGUAGAGAAUACCAAGGCGCUUGAGAGAACUCGGGUGAAGGAACUAGGCAAAAUGGUGCCGUAACUUCGGGAGAAGGCACGCUGAUAUGUAGGUGAAGCGACUUGCUCGUGGAGCUGAAAUCAGUCGAAGAUACCAGCUGGCUGCAACUGUUUAUUAAAAACACAGCACUGUGCAAACACGAAAGUGGACGUAUACGGUGUGACGCCUGCCCGGUGCCGGAAGGUUAAUUGAUGGGGUCAGCGCAAGCGAAGCUCUUGAUCGAAGCCCCGGUAAACGGCGGCCGUAACUAUAACGGUCCUAAGGUAGCGAAAUUCCUUGUCGGGUAAGUUCCGACCUGCACGAAUGGCGUAAUGAUGGCCAGGCUGUCUCCACCCGAGACUCAGUGAAAUUGAACUCGCUGUGAAGAUGCAGUGUACCCGCGGCAAGACGGAAAGACCCCGUGAACCUUUACUAUAGCUUGACACUGAACAUUGAGCCUUGAUGUGUAGGAUAGGUGGGAGGCUUAGAAGUGUGGACGCCAGUCUGCAUGGAGCCGACCUUGAAAUACCACCCUUUAAUGUUUGAUGUUCUAACGUUGACCCGUAAUCCGGGUUGCGGACAGUGUCUGGUGGGUAGUUUGACUGGGGCGGUCUCCUCCUAAAGAGUAACGGAGGAGCACGAAGGUUGGCUAAUCCUGGUCGGACAUCAGGAGGUUAGUGCAAUGGCAUAAGCCAGCUUGACUGCGAGCGUGACGGCGCGAGCAGGUGCGAAAGCAGGU